UAGUAGCGGCGAGCGAGCGGGAAGAGCUCAAAUUUAUAAUCUGGCACCUUCGGUGUCCGAGUUGUAAUCUCUAGAAGUGUUUUCCGCGUUGGACCGCACACAAGUCUGUUGGAAUACAGCGGCAUAGUGGUGAAACCCCCGUAUAUGGUGCGGACGCCCAGCGCUUUGUGAUACACUUUCAAUGAGUCGAGUUGUUUGGGAAUGCAGCUCAAAUUGGGUGGUAAAUUCCAUCUAAAGCUAAAUAUUGGCGAGAGACCGAUAGCGAACAAGUACCGUGAGGGAAAGAUGAAAAGCACUUUGGAAAGAGAGUUAACAGUACGUGAAAUUGUUGGAAGGGAAACGCUUGAAGUCAGACUUGCUUGCCGGAGCUUGCUUCGGUUUGCAGGCCAGCAUCAGUUUUCCGGGGUGGAUAAUAACGGUUUGAAGGUAGCAGUCUCGGCUGUGUUAUAGCUUUCCGUUGGAUACAUCCUGGGGGACUGAGGAACGCAGCGUGCUUUUUGCGAAAGACUCGUCUUUUUCACGCUUAGGAUGCUGGUGGAAUGGCUUUAAACGACCCGUC
rnacentral:rRNA from 1 species